AAAGGAUAUCCACCUCAUCAGUACAAGCUUGUAACAGCCACUCACCUCAUUAAUUCUUUCCAAUAAUCACGACAACAUUACCAUGAAAAGCAUCUUUAUUCAGGACGGAAAUCACCCAAAAG